rnacentral:rRNA from 1 species
ACCAGCACGUUAUGGGGGGCACUCUAAGGAGACUGCCGGUGACAAACCGGAGGAAGGGGGGGAUGACGUCAAGUCAUCAUGGCCCUUACGGCCUGGGCUACACACGUGCUACAAUGGUCGGUACAAAGGGUUGCCAAGCCGCGAGGGGGAGCUAAUCCCAUAAAACCGAUCGUAGUCCGGAUCGCAGUCUGCAACUCGACUGCGUGAAGUCGGAAUCGCUAGUAAUCGCGAAUCAGAAUGUCGCGGUGAAU